GACGAACGCUGGCGGCGUGCCUAAUACAUGCAAGUCGAACGAGAGCGACCGGUGCUUGCACUGGUCAAUCUAGUGGCGAACGGGUGAGUAACACGUGGGUAACCUGCCCAUCAGAGGGGGAUAACAUCCGGAAACGGAUGCUAAAACCGCAUAGGUCUUCGAACCGCAUGGUUUGAAGAGGAAAAGAGGCGCAAGCUUCUGCUGAUGGAUGGACCCGCGGUGCAUUAGCUAGUUGGUGAGGUAACGGCUCACCAAGGCCGUGAUGCAUAGCCGACCUGAGAGGGUGAUCGGCCACAUUGGGACUGAGACACGGCCCAAACUCCUACGGGAGGCAGCAGUAGGGAAUCUUCCGCAAUGGACGCGAGUCUGACGGAGCAACGCCGCGUGAGUGAAGAAGGUUUUCGGAUCGUAAAACUCUGUUGUUAGAGAAGAACAAGUGCUAGAGUAACUGUUAGCGCCUUGACGGUAUCUAACCAGAAAGCCACGGCUAACUACGUG
rnacentral:rRNA from 1 species